rnacentral:rRNA from 1 species
UACGUAGGGCGCGAGCGUUGUCCGGAAUUAUUGGGCGUAAAGAGCUCGUAGGCGGCCUGUCGCGUCAAUUGUGAAAGCCCGGGGCUCAACCCCGGGUCUGCAGUCGAUACGGGCAGGCUAGAGUUCGGUGAGGGGAGAUCGGAAUUCCUGGUGUAGCGGUGAAAUGCGCAGAUAUCAGGAGGAACACCGGUGGCGAAGGCGGCGACCUGGUCCGAUACUGACGCUGAGGCGCGAAAGCGUGGGGAGCAAACAGG